rnacentral:rRNA from 1 species
AUUGUACGCUGGCGGCAGGCCUAACACAUGCAAGUCGAGCGGAUGAAGGGAGCUUGCUCCUGGAUUCAGCGGCGGACGGGUGAGUAAUGCCUAGGAAUCUGCCUGGUAGUGGGGGAUAACGUCCGGAAACGGGCGCUCAUACCGCAUACGUCCUGAGGGAGAAAGUGGGGGAUCUUCGGACCUCACGCUAUCAGAUGAGCCUAGGUCGGAUUAGCUAGUUGGUGGGGUAAAGGCCUACCAAGGCGACGAUCCGUAACUGGUCUGAGAGGAUGAUCAGUCACACUGGAACUGAGACACGGUCCAGACUCCUACGGGAGGCAGCAGUGGGGAAUAUUGGACAAAGGGCGAAAGCCUGAUCCAGCCAUGCCGCGUGUGUGAAGAAGGUCUUCUGAUUGUAAAGCACUUUAAGUUGGGAGGAAGGGCAGUAAGUUAAUACCUUGCUGUUUUGACGUUACCAACAGAAUAAGCACCGGCUAACUUCGUG